AUACUUACCUGGCAGGGGAGAUACCAUGAUCAUGAAGGUGGUUUUCCUAGGGCAAGGCUUAUCCAAGGCUUAUCCGGAUGUGCUGACCCCUGUGAUUUCCCAUAUGUGGGAAACUCAAAUGCAUAAUUUGUGAUAGGGAGGGACUGAAUUCUCACUUUCCCCUG
ensembl:snRNA U1 U1 spliceosomal RNA